UACAGAGGCUGCGAGCGUUAUUCGGAUUCACUGGGCGUAAAGGGUGCGCAGGCGGCCGUGUGUGUGAGGCGUGAAAGCCCGGGGCUUAACCCCGGAAUUGCACCUCAAACUACACGGCUAGAGCAUUGGAGAGGGUAGCGGAAUUCACGGUGUAGCAGUGAAAUGCGUAGAUAUCGUGAGGAACACCAGAGGCGAAGGCGGCUACCUGGACAAUUGCUGACGCUCAGGCACGAAAGCGUGGGGAGCAAAAGGG
rnacentral:rRNA from 1 species